UACGUAGGGUGCGAGCGUUGUCCGGAAUUAUUGGGCGUAAAGCGUGCGCAGGCGGUUUUGUAAGCCAGAUGUGAAAGCCCCGGGCUUAACCUGGGAAUGGCAUUUGGGACUGCAAGGCUGGAGUGUGGCAGAGGAGACUGGAAUUCCUGGUGUAGCAGUGAAAUGCGUAGAUAUCAGGAGGAAUACCGAUGGCGAAGGCAGGUCUCUGGGCUGACACUGACGCUCAUGCACGAAAGCGUGGGGAGCAAACAGG
rnacentral:rRNA from 1 species